rnacentral:rRNA from 1 species
UACGGAGGGUGCAAGCGUUGUUCGGAAUCACUGGGCGUAAAGCGCGUGUAGGCGGACUAGUAAGUCUGAUGUGAAAGCCCGGGGCUUACCCCCGGAAUUGCAUUGGAUACUGGGUAGCUUGAGUACCGGAGAGGAAGGUGGAAUUCCUAGUGUAGAGGUGAAAUGCGUAGAUAUCAGGAGGAACACCAGUGGCGAAGGCGGCUUUCUGGAUGGAUACUGACGCUCAUGUGCGAAAGCGUGGGGAGCAAACACG